UACGGAGGGUGCUAGCGUUGUUCGGAAUCACUGGGCGUAAAGGGCGCGUAGGCGGGUGACCAAGUCAGGGGUGAAAUCUUUCGGCUCAACCGGAAAACAGCUUCUGAUACUGGUCGUCUUGAGUGAGGUAGGGGCAUGUGGAACUUCCGGUGGAGCGGUGAAAUGCGUAGAUAUCGGAAGGAACGCCGGUGGCGAAAGCGACGUGCUGGACCUCUUCUGACGCUGAGGCGCGAAAGCUAGGGGAGCAAACGGG
rnacentral:rRNA from 1 species